AGAGUUUGAUCAUGGCUCAGGAUAAACGCUGGCGGCGUGCUUUGGUAUGCAAGUGGAACGUCUCUACUUUUUGUAGAGAGUCGCGAACGGCCGAGUAACACGUGGGAAUCUGCCUCUAGGUGGGGAAUAGUCCGUCGAAAGAUGGGUUAAUACCGCAUAAUAUCAUGCUACGCAUGAUUAAAGAGCUUAACUGCUCGCCAAGAGAAGAGCCUGCGGCCUAUCAGCUUGUUGGUGAGGUAAAGGCUCACCAAGGCUAAGACGGGUAGGGGACUUGAGAGAGUGUACCCCCGGAAUGGCACUGAGAUACGGGCCAUACACCUACGGGUGGCGCAACCAGGAAUCGUGCGCAAUGGACGAAAGUCUGACGCCGCGACGCCGCGUGUGGGAUGAAUGCCUUCGGGUUGUAAACCACUUUUGAUUGUUGGGAGACCAACUUUAGAAUAAGCACCGGCUAACUACGUGCCAGCAGCAGCGGUAAAACGUAGGGUGCAAGCGUUGUCCGGAUUUAUUGGGCGUAAAGGGUUCGUAGGCGUUUUUGUAAGUUAAAUCUCAAAUACCGAGGCUUAACUUCGGAAAGGGAGGUAAUACUGCAAAAAUAGAAAUACUUAGGGGCUACCGGAACUUACUAUGUAGGGGUGAAAUCCGUUGAUAUGGUAAGGAACGUCGAGGGCGAAGGCAGGUAGCUGGGAGUUAUUUGACGCUGAGGAACGAAAGCUAGGGUAGCGAAAGGGAUUAGAGACCCCUGUAGUCCUAGCCGUAAACGAUGCUCGCUAGGGAUGUGUCCUUUUGGAUGCGUUCCGUAAGCUAACGCGUGAAGCGAGCCGCCUGGGGAGUACGAACGCAAGUUUAAAACUCAAAGGAAUUGACGGGGACCUGCACAACCAGUGGAGCAUGUGGUUUAAUUCGAGACGAA
rnacentral:rRNA from 1 species